rnacentral:lncRNA from 10 species
UGCAACUUCCGCCUCCCGGGUUCAAGCGAUUCUCCUGCCUCGGCCUCCUGAGUUGCUGGAUCUACAGAUGCCCACCACCACGCCCGGCUAAUUUUCAUUUUUAGUAGAGACGGGGUUUCACUAUGUUGGCCAAGCUGUUCUCGAACUCCUAGGCUCAAAUGAUCCGCCCGCCUCGGCCUCCCAAAGUGCUGGGAUUACAGGCGUGAGCCACCGCGCCCGGCCCGAUUUGCGUUUUAAAGUCGCUCUGAACAAUAAAAUCCGGAAGGACUGGAGGGGAGGCUCCGACCUUCUCCCUGUCUGGGCAGGUGUGCUGGUGCCGGGCAGGAACGGUGCCUUGGGACAGCCUGGCCCCGGCCUCACAACGGGCCCCGGGCGCUCAGUCAUAUUCCGUGGCCGCUCCAACACCCCCUACCCCCACCAGCAGGCGCGGCUCUCUUUCGGGGCUGGACUGCAUUUUUUGGACAUGAGUCGGCGAGUGAGGGUGAAACUCAGGCCAAAGUCUCCAGAGCCGCUCGGAGAAAACGCUGCCUGGAACAGAAGAGCAGAGGAUCAGAGGCACCACCAGAGACUCUCAGAGUGGGUUAUUACCCUGGUGGGGGCGCCUGCUGCGGCGUAGGAGAUGGCGGGACUGGGGGCGCGGGUGUGAAGCCCCCAAGAAAUCUGUGUGAAUUUCCUGGGGAGGUAAGGUCUCCAGGCGCUCUCUCUGGGCCCGGGGAUUGGUCCGGGAAGGUCUCCUGGCGCCUACCCAGCCCCCACUGCCUGGACGCCUGCGCCUGCUCUGCCGCCCCACAGCGACCGCGAAGGCCAGCUUCUUCGAAAGGCCCAUUUUUCUCCGUGGCUGAGCGAAUGCUCCUAGAAUACCACGUUUAUAAUAAAUCAUGUAGGGUGGAAUUCCUGCUGGAUGUAUACACCUUUCUGCAUCAGAGCUCUUCAAACCCAGAAUGGUGAAUAGCUACCCCUGGGCUUACCCUUUUAUAAUUUUCAACAAACCUGCGUUUAGCCCCGGCUAGGUGCCAGCAAGUUGCUAGGGACUGAGGAGGCUCUGCAGAGGACCCGAGCUGAGGCCCUAAUCCUCAAGGCCAAUGGCAGGGGUCACCGCCCAGGCACCCCCAGAGAACGCGGUGUGAAGGAAAAGACACCAAACUCGGUGUUCAAAUGUGUGGGAUCUAUUCUAGUUCUGAUUCUGACACUUGCAAGUCAUGCAUCCUCCGAGCCUCGGCUUUCUCACCUAUAAAAUCUUCAACGUGACCUAUAAAAAUCCAUAAAAUCACCCCUGCUUCAUUGUUUCCCAGGGCUCAUAGAAACAUCAUACAAGGUAAGGGAAGGUGGAGAAGAGUACCCAAGAAGGACAAGCUUGGAAUGGGGCCCCCUCCCCAGGCUGGAGAUCAGACAUUGUUGGAGAAGGUAUCAUUGCAGCCCCCUACAUAGCAGAGAGAUUUGCUGAGUUGCAUAGUCUAGAGCUGGUUGCAAUUAUUGGACAAGCAGGAAACAAACCUCCACAGCCCAUGCGAGCCACACUGCUGGGUUGAGUGUAUGAGCAUGUAGAAUGAUUGGGUCUCCAGUGCGGACAGAAGGCAUGGAUCGCGUGGUGCCUGUGUUGGGAGGAUACUAAGAGGGCGAUCACCAUGCCAGGACAAGACUAGUUGCCUGGGAUCUUCUGGGCACGUGACUGGAGCAGAGUACCACUGGAUCUCCUCACACCAGCCAGACCCAGGAAGAGAAGCUCCUUUCACCUGCACUGUUCUCUCAGCACCCUCCACGGAGAAAGCUUCAUGUUAUGCUUAGUGUACAGGAGAAAUGCUCAUGGGAAUCCUGUCCAUUAUCACAGAGCAGGUAUUAGUGGGUGAAUAUGGAGCUGAGAAGUAAUAAGUUGUAACUGGCAUAGAUAUCAUGGGGAUAUUUGAAGAACGCUGUGAACACAUAUGCAUGGGUCCAUGUAUUCAUGAGUGUGCACAUAUGUGUAAUUAUUCAUACAAUUCAUGGUGGAUACUACUUCGAGGGUGUUCACAGACCCCAGGCAGAGAGCGCCUGGAGGGAAAAUUAUCCAAGGCAGGCCCAUUCAUAGUUCCAGGACAGCCAGAAGAAAGCCUCCGUUAAGCACCAGAAGUCUCCGGGGCAGGUGGGGCCAGGCAGCAUGAAAGAAUUGGCCGCAAGAGUUCCAAACCCUGUCCCAAUUAUGGAGGGUGACUUUUCUUUGUCCUCCUUCUCCAUUCCCUUCCAUAUUGCUCAUGCAUCCAAAGGGAGACCUGAAGACUCUCUAGCAGGGCAAGGCCAUUUUCUUUUGGCAUUUUUCUCUCCCCAGAGUCUAGCUGAUUAUCAGCUUAGACACACAGCAGGCUAUGUGCUGUGAACAACAGGCAUCCUGGGUUAUUUUACAAACUCAUGGAUAGUCAUUUUGAAACCACCUUUGCAAAAUUGUGACUGAAACAGUGAAAGAGAGCUAACUUAACCAGCUCCAUCUUGUUUCUAACCUCCAAGCUGUCUUUGUUCAUUCCUGGGCGUAGGCUGAACUAACUUUGGGAGAAACUUAGUUUGUAGUUAUAGUUUAAACAAAGACUGUGACAGCCCUUUCCCAAUGCAGACCUCCUUCUUGUCUGGGGACUAGACUAACAUUAGCCACAGGAUUAGAAAUUACGGUUUAGGAGUCACGCAGCUGGAGGCUACAAGAUUCUGACCCUCCCUAAACUGCUUCUAAGAUCAGUGCUUGAGACAUGUUGCAGACCCCGCACUUGCUGGAUCAGCUGACGCCACACAGAUGGAUAAACUGCCUCGUCUGAUCUUGUGGCCCCCACCCGGGAACUGACGAAGCGCAAGAAGACAGCUUCGACUCCCUGUGAGUUCAUCCCUGACCAACCAGCACUCCUGGCUCACUGGCUUCCCCCUACCAAGUUAUGCUUAAAAAUUCUGCUCCCCGAAUUCUCGAGGAGACUGAUUUGAGUGAUAAUAAAACUCCAGUCUCCCGCACA